rnacentral:misc_RNA from 1 species
UUAACUAUUAUAUAGUACUCAGACGACACUAACAUUCAGAGUCUGUGGGGCCUCUGGCGGGCACGCACCAGCUAGGCUGGCGGCCAGGCAGGGCCUGGCGGCCCGCCAAAGCAACGAUCGUAGUAAUAACAGUGGGUGGGAGAUCUACCCAAAGGGCACGAACUCUGUAAUGAUCCCUCCGCAGGUUCACCUACGGAGA